CAAAAGCGAUGGUGGUGGGCUUUAUCUCAUCAGAAGAUUUGAUUCAGCUCACAUCUCUGAUGCCAAAGAUUAGUGGACGAGCAGAGCUUGUUUCCCAGCUGAUAGAAUCUUUUCUUCUAACAGACAAAAUGGAGAUUGUUGAACCUAACGACAUUUGUGGGCUCCAGCUCAUGGAGUUUCACUCUAAAGAGUAUGUUGAUACCUUGGAAAGUUACUCCCAUCAAUCAGAAGAUGAACAGAGAUUAAAACAGUUUGGGCUGGAGUUUGACUGUCCACCAUUUCCCAAGAUGUUUAGAACGGUUUGUGCUAUCGGUGGAGCUUCAAUUACUGCUGCAGACGAAUUGGG